AUUGAACGCUGGCGGCAGGCCUAACACAUGCAAGUCGAACGAGUGGCGGACGGGUGAGUAAUGUCUGGGAAACUGCCUGAUGGAGGGGGAUAACUACUGGAAACGGUAGCUAAUACCGCAUACCAUCGGAUGUGCCCAGAUGGGAUUAGCUAGUAGGUGGGGUAAAGGCUCACCUAGGCUACGAUCCCUAGCUGGUCUGAGAGGAUGACCGUCCAACAUGUAACUGAGACACGGUACAGACUCCUACGGGAGGCAGCAGUGGUGAAGAUUGCACAAGGGGCGCAAGCCUGCUGCAGCCAUGCCGCGUGGAUGAAGAAGGCCGUCGGGUUGUAAAGUACUUGCAGCGGGGAGGCGUUACCCGCAGAAGAAGCACCGGCUAACUCCGUGCCAGCAGCCGCGGUAAUAC
rnacentral:rRNA from 1 species